rnacentral:rRNA from 1 species
CCUACGGGAGGCAGCAGUGGGGGAUAUUGCACAAUGGGGGAAACCCUGAUGCAGCGACGCCGCGUGGGUGAAGAAGUAUUUCGGUAUGUAAAGCCCCAUCAGUAGGGAAGAAAGAAGACGGUACCUGACUAAGAAGCCCCUGCCAACUACGUGCCAGCAGCCGCGGUAAUACGGAGGGGGCGAGCGUUAUCCGGAUUCACUGGGUGUAAAGGGAGCGUAGGCGGCCGUGCAAGCCAGGAGUGAAAUCCUAUGGCUUAACCAUGGAACUGCUUUGGAAACUGUGCAGCUAGAGUGCAGGAGAGGUAGGCGGAAUGCCUGGUGUAGCGGUGAAAUGCAUAGAUAUCAGGAGGAACACCAGUGGCGAAGGCAGCUUACUAGGCUAUAACUGACGUUGAGGCUCGAAAGCGUGGGGAGCAAACAGGAUUAGAUACCCGAGUAGUC